rnacentral:rRNA from 1 species
GACGAACGCUGGCGACGUGCUUAACACAUGCAAGUCGAACGGUGAAGCGCCUUCCUUUUUGGUGGGUGUGGAUGAGUGGCGAACGGGUGAGUAACACGUGAGUAACCUGCCCCCUUCUUCUGGAUAACCGCAUGAAAGUGUGGCUAAUACGGGAUAUUCUGGGUCUGUCGCAUGAUGGGUCUGGGAAAGAUAUUGUUUCGGUGGGGGAUGGGCUCGCGGCCUAUCAGCUUGUUGGUGGGGUGAUGGCCUACCAAGGCGGUGACGGGUAGCCGGCCUGAGAGGGUGGACGGUCACACUGGGACUGAGACACGGCCCAGACUCCUACGGGAGGCAGCAGUGGGGAAUAUUGCACAAUGGGCGCAAGCCUGAUGCAGCGACGCCGCGUGAGGGAUGGAGGCCUUCGGGUUGUGAACCUCUUUCGCCAGUGAAGCAGGCCUGCCUCGUUUGUGGGUGGGUUGACGGUAGCUGGAUAAGAAGCGCCGGCUAACUACGUG